rnacentral:lncRNA from 1 species
AAUACUUAAAAGUUACUGUAUCUUUAAUUUACUUAGAAAGAAAUUGGAACCCAGAGAUUUGAAGACUCCUGGCGCUUUAAAUAACUAUUUUGUGACAACCGGGAUCUAGAACUCUAUAACCUUGACUUCCAGUCCCAUGUUGAGUCCCUAGAGCAUGCUACAGCCCCACAUCUUAAGUCAUCUUCUGGGUAAAUUGAAAGUUGGAGAGGAUAAUGGGACAUUUUAAUUUUUAUGCAGUUGGCAAUGUGACAGACUGUGGCUAAUCGAUGACCCUGCAUCCCUGAGUGAGUACUCAGAGCAGACGCCUCUUCUGUCCUUGAAGACACAAGGUGAAAGCUCAGCUUCCAAGACAUUGAAAAAGAAAGAAAAAGAAAAAAAGAUUGAUUUGGUGCCAUGUAUGUGUUUUUGGAAAAAUGAAGAUUCAUAUCUCAAGGAGGCACAUUAGAUGCCAACAUUAAAGAAAUUUGGCAGAUGAACACCUUCAAGAGGGUAAAGUACCU